GCUGACAAUUUAGUCAGCGCUGACAAAAAUUCGUUUCAUCAAACUCUCGGAGCUCCUCUGACUAUUGUCAGAGAAUUUUUAUUUUACAAAUCGUCUUGAACGAGGUUCGCUGACUAAUUAGGCCACGCCCACUCCCAAAGUCGUGAAAAAGAUGUAAAAUUGAUUGAUGUUUUCGCCACGACGAUUCGAAAUGAAACGAAGAAAUGAGAAGAAGCGAAGGUCCUCGUAGAGGUGAAUGAGGAUUUUACCACUAUGGACAUUUGAACAGUAUGCAGAAGAAGACGGAUCUGGAACUAGAAAGCAAGGCUCUGACUGGUCUACUACAGCAAGGAAUGUGCCAGCGGCCAAUUUGAUGAACAUGUGACAGAAGAUUUGGCAAUGGGUGAAGAAAUACUGAGAUUGAAAUGCAACCACAGGUGGAGGCUUCAACCAAACUUUUCAGACAGACAUGAGAUACAAAGUUACACAAGUAUAAAUGGUUGAAGGUUUAGGAGAGCCAGACAAGAAGGCAGGAAAUGUGAUGUCAC